CAUUUUAUUAGAGGGGAGAGAAUGAGAUAUUUAUAAAACUUCAUUCAUCAAAUUGCAUUUUUUCUGUGAUUUCAUUAAAACUAAUAAAUACACUCUAAAAAUGCUGGGUUGUUUUUAACCCAGGGCUGGGUCACUAUUGGAUAGGAUAGGAACACAUUACUGGGUUAAAAUGACCUAACUGUUGGGUUGUUUUAACCCAACUGCUGGGUUAUUGUCAAUCAACCAUGUUGAAACAACCCAGCAUUUUUUAGAGUCUACAUAUUAUUAAUAGAAUGGGGUCCAGUAUUUUAUAACUUCUGGAUUUUGUGGGGCCCUCUGGGCAGUGGAGGACCCUAUAAUUGUCAUCACCUUUCACCCCAUCAGCAACGGCCCUGAUAAUAAAUGUUCUUGUGCAGUUGUACUGUAGUUUACAGUCAUAAGAUAAAGUUGUGUAGUGUGUGGUGUCUAUAGAUUCUAGUAUUAGAAUUUAAGAGCCAGUUGUUUGCCAGUCAUUUAUAUAUCUCUUACAUUUAUUUGUUAUUUCAUUAUUAUUUAAAUGUAUUAUUUUAUUUGAUAGUUAUUUGAUAGUUUCUAGUAAUAGUUAUUAGGGUGCACGUAAUAUAAAAAUCUAUUUUACCACCUGUGUCAUACCACAUGUAUGUUAUUAAGCACAAAGCAGAUUUAUAUAACAGACAAAAUUUUAAUUAAAUACACAGUUAAGAAUUGUGAUUUUUCCAAAAGUGUCAUAAAAAUACAGUUAAGAAUUGUGAAAUAUACAAAACUUUGCCACCAAACAUUUUUUAAUUUACAUGUUUCCUGUAUUUUUAUGAAGGUUUUCUGGCAACCACAGCUUCCAUUUUUAUCAUAGAAAAUAGUUUUCUUUGCAGUGCAGGAAUGUUUUGAAAUUGUAAUUUUUAACUGCUUCAGAUGUAUUUUCAUUGAAUAUUGAAGUGUUUCUUAAUUACAGAGUUUAUUCUUAAACAGUUGCUUACAGACUCAACUUCUCUCUCUUUGAACAGAAUGUGUGAUGAUGUUGAUACAGGAAGUACUUGAAUAGUCCAUCUGAUAUCAGUCAGUAUAUUGUCUUCAUACAGCACAGUUUCACUUAAGUCUCAAAUCAUCAGCAGUUGUUUCAGUACAGAAUUCACAGGAUCCAUGAAUGAGACAUUUUAACAAAUCUGCUUUCAGCAAAGAUUUUACACUGAUUACACCAUUAUCUCAUUUCUGGUGUGCGUUUCCUCAGAGGACUGAUCUUAUUUUAAUGAAGAGAUGAAGGCAGAACAGCAAAUCAUUAUUUUCAUUUGUUUGUUACAAGGUGUUUGGUGUGGAGGAUGGAGCAUCAGUCUGCCAAAAAAUAUUGAAACUCUGAGUGGAUCCUGUGUGACCAUAAACUGCAGAUUUACUACUGAUAAGCAAUAUGACAAAUAUCUCACUGACAGUGCUGUAGGAGUGUGGUUUAAAGAUUGGACUGAGUCAACAAAAAAUGUAGUGUUUAACUCCAGCAAGCCCAAUCUCUCUUUUAAAGGGAACAUAACUGGAAAAUUAAAAGACAAGGACUGCACUACCAUUUUUUAUGACGUUACUUUAAAUCACAAGGGCAGAUUUAACUUUAGGAUUGAGGGAAAUGGUGGACUGAAAUGGACCUAUAAAGAAAUUGAGGAAUAUGUUUUAAUAGAUGUCAUCGGUGAGUGACAUGACUGAAAAUUAUUGUUCAUUACAACUGCAAACACGUACAGUGCAACAAAAUCUGUUUUUGCCAAUAAAAUA